AGAUACCCUAUUAUAAAAAUUUAAAAUUUAUUACUGAAAAAUUAAUAGUUAAGUUCUUUAAAUUUAAAAAAUUUGGCGGUAUUUUAGUCUUAUUAGAGGAACCUGUUUUAUAAUUGAUAAUCCACGAUUUAUUUUACUUAAUUUUUAAAUUCAUAUAUCGCUGUCAUGAAUAUAUUUAAAAAUUUAUUUUCUUNAUUAAUUUAAUAANNNAUGUUAAGUCAAGAUGUGGUUAAUAAUUAAGGAAGUAAUGGGUUACAAUGAAUUUAAUUUUUGAAUUCUAUUAUGUAAAAUUUAGAUGAAAUUGAAUUUAAUAGUAAAUUUAUUAAUUUUUUUAAUAUGAAUAUAGAUCUAAAAUAUGUACAUAUUGCCCGUCAUUCUUAUAAAAAAUAAGACAAGUCGUAACAAAGUAAAUGUACUGGAAAGUGUAUUUAGAAAGAAUUUAUAAA
rnacentral:rRNA from 1 species